rnacentral:rRNA from 1 species
UAGUUGGCUACGUAUUGCUUAGUAACAGAGAGUUCGAUCAUGGCUCAGAUUGAACGCUGGCGGAGAUGUUUUACAUGUGCAAGUCGAACGGCAGCACGGACUUCGGUCUGGUGGCGAGUGGCGAACGGGUGAGUAAUGUAUCGGAACGUGCCUAGUAGCGGGGGAUAACUACGCGAAAGCGUAGCUAAUACCGCAUACGCCCUUCGGGGAAAGCGGGGACCUUCGGGCCUCGCACUAUUAGAGCGGGCUGAUAUCGGAUUAGCUAGUUGGUGGGGUAACGGCUCACCAAGGCGACGAUCCGUAGCUGGUUUGAGAGGACGACCAGCCACACUGGGACUGAGACACGGCCCAGACUCCUACGGGAGGCAGCAGUGGGGAAUUUUGGACAAUGGGGGAAAUCCCGAUCCAGCCAUCCCGCGUGUGCGAUGAAGGCCUGCUGUAAAGCACUUUUGGCAGGAAAGAAAACGGCACGGGAUAAUACCCCCGUGCAACUGACGGUACCUGCAAUAAGCACCGGCUACUACGUGCCAGCAGCCGCGGUAAUACGUAGGGUGCAAGCGUUAAUCGGAAUUACUGGGCGUAAAGCGUGCGCAGGUUCGGCAAGAAAGAUGUGAAAUCCCAGAGCUUAACUUUGAACUGCAUUUUUAACUACCGAGCUAGAGUGUGUCAGAGGGAGGUGGAAUUCCGCGUGUAGCAGGAAUGCGUAGAUAUGCGGAGGAACACCGAUGGCGAAGGCAGCCUCCUGGGAUAACACUGACGCUCAUGCACGAAAGCGUGGGGAGCAAAUAGGAUUAGAUACUCUGGUAGUCCACGCCCUAAAACGAUGUCAACUAGCUGUUGGGGCCUUCGGGCCUUGGUAGCGCAGCUAACGCGUGAAGUUGACCGCCUGGGGAGUACGGUCGCAAGAUUAAAACCUCAAAGGAAUUGACGGGGAUCCGCACAAGCGGUGGAUGAUGUGGAUUAAUUCGAUGCAACGCGAAAAACCUUACCUACCCUUGACAUGUCUGAAUCCCGGAAGAGAUUUGGGAGUGCUCGCAAGAGAACCGGAACACAGGUGCUGCAUGGCUGUCGUCAGCUCGUGUCGUGAGAUGUUGGGUUAAGUCCCGCAACGAGCGCAACCCUUGUCAUUAGUUGCUACGAAAGGGCACUUCAUCGAGAUUCGCCGGUGACAAACCGGAGGAAGGUGGGGAUGAUCAAGUCCUCAUGGCCCUUAUGGGUAGGGCUUCACACGUCAUACAAUGGUCGGGACAGAGGGUCGCCAACCCGCGAGGGGGAGCCAACCCCAGAAACCUGAUCGUAGUCCGGAUCGCAGUCUGCAACUCGACUGCGUGAAGUCGGAAUCGCUAGUAAUCGCGGAUCAGCAUGUCGCGGUGAAUACGUUCCCGGUCUUGUACACACCGCCCGUCACACCAUGGGAGUGGGUUUUACCAGAAGUAGUUAGCCUAACCGUAAGGAGGGCGAUUACUACGGUAGGAUUCAUGACUGGGGUGAAGUCGUAACAAGGUAG